GUGGGGAAUAUUGGACAAUGGGGGGAACCCUGAUCCAGCCAUGCCGCGUGUGUGAAGAAGGCCUUUUGGUUGUAAAGCACUUUAAGCGAGGAGGAGGCUACCGAGAUUAAUACUCUUGGAUAGUGGACGUUACUCGCAGAAUAAGCACCGGCUAACUCUGUGCCAGCAGCCGCGGUAAUACAGAGGGUGCAAGCGUUAAUCGGAUUUACUGGGCGUAAAGCGCGCGCAGGUGGCCAAUUAAGUCAAAUGUGAAAUCCCCGAGCUUAACUUGGGAAUUGCAUUCGAUACUGGUUGGCUAGAGUAUGGGAGAGGAUGGUAGAAUUCCAGGUGUAGCGGUGAAAUGCGUAGAGAUCUGGAGGAAUACCGAUGGCGAAGGCAGCCAUCUGGCCUAAUACUGACACUGAGGUGCGAAAGCAUGGGGAGCAAACAGGAUUAGAUACCCCGGUAGUCC
rnacentral:rRNA from 1 species